rnacentral:rRNA from 1 species
UACAGAGGUCUCAAGCGUUGUUCGGAUUCAUUGGGCGUAAAGGGUGUGUAGGUGGCGCGCUAAGUCGGGUGUGAAAUUCGAGCUUAACUUCGAAACUGCAUUCGAUACUGGCGUGCUUGAGGACUGGAGAGGAGACUGGAAUUUACGGUGUAGCAGUGAAAUGCGUAGAUAUCGUAAGGAAGACCAGUGGCGAAGGCGGCGCUCUGGGCCGGAACUGACGCUGAGGAGCGAAAGCGUGGGUAGCAAACAGG